rnacentral:rRNA from 1 species
UGAGCAGCAACGCCGCGUGAGGGACGACGGCCUUCGGGUUGUAAACCUCUUUUAGCAGGGAAGAAGCGAAAGUGACGGUACCUGCAGAAAAAGCGCCGGCUAACUACGUGCCAGCAGCCGCGGUAAUACGUAGGGCGCAAGCGUUAUCCGGAAUUAUUGGGCGUAAAGAGCUCGUAGGCGGUUUGUCGCGUCUGCUGUGAAAACCCGAGGCUCAACCUCGGGCCUGCAGUGGGUACGGGCAGACUAGAGUGCGGUAGGGGAGAUUGGAACUCCUGGUGUAGCGGAGGAAUGCGCAGAUAUCAGGGAAGAACACCGAUGGCGAAGGCAGAUCUCUGGGCCGUAACUGACGCUGAGGAGCGAAAGGGUGGGGAGCAAACAGGCUUAGAUACCCUGGUAGUCCACCCCCGUAAACGUUGGGAACUAGUUGUGGGGCCAUUCCACGGUUUCCGUGACGCAGCUAACGCAUUAAGUUCCCCGCCUGGGGAGUACGCCGCAAGUAAAACUCAGGGGAAU